GUGCCAGCAGCCGCGGUAAUACGUAGGUUCCGAGCGUUGUCCGGAUUUAUUGGGCGUAAAGCGAGCGCAGGCGGUUAGAUAAGUCUGAAGUUAAAGGCUGUGGCUUAACCAUAGUACGCUUUGGAAACUGUUUAACUUGAGUGCAAGAGGGGAGAGUGGAAUUCCAUGUGUAGCGGUGAAAUGCGUAGAUAUAUGGAGGAACACCGGUGGCGAAAGCGGCUCUCUGGCUUGUAACUGACGCUGAGGCUCGAAAGCGUGGGGAGCAA
rnacentral:rRNA from 1 species